rnacentral:rRNA from 1 species
GGGCUCGGUGAAAUUGUGGUACCGGUGAAGACGCCGGUUACCCGCAUAUGGACGGAAAGACCCCGUGCACCUUUACUGCACCCUAACAUUGGGUUCGGGUAAGGCAUGUGUAGAAUAGGUGGGAGACUUUGAAGUCGGGGCGCUAGCUUCGAUGGAGUCGCAAUGUGAAAUACCACCCUUGUUUUAUUUGGAUUCUAACCUCUACCCAUGAAUCUGGGUAAGGGACAGUGUUAGGCGGGUAGUUUGACUGGGGCGGUCGCCUCCUAAAAUGUAACGGAGGCUCCCAAAGGUUCUCUCAGCAUGGUUGGUAAUCAUGCGUUGAGUGCAUAGGCAUAAGAGAGCUUAACUGCGAGACAUACAGGUCAAGCAGAUGCGAAAGCAGGGCUAAGUGAUCCGGUGGUUCCGAGUGGAAGGGCCAUCGCUCAAAGGAUAAAAGGUACGCCGGGGAUAACAGGCUGAUCUUGCCCAAGAGUUCAUAUCGACGGCAAGGUUUGGCACCUCGAUGUCGGUUCAUCGCAUCCUGGGGCUGAAGAAGGUCCCAAGGGUUUGGCUGUUCGCCAAUUAAAGCGGUACGUGAACUGGGUUCAGAACGUCGUGAGACAGUUCGGUCCCUAUCCUAUGCGGGCGCAGGAUACUUGAGAAGAGUCGCUUCUAGUACGAGAGGACCGAAGUGAACGUAUCUCUAGUGAAUCAAUUGUUACGCCAGUAGCAUUGUUGAGUAGCUAUAUACGGAUGUGAUAAGCGCUGAAAGCAUCUAAGUGCGAAGCACACUUCAAGAUGAGGUAUCCCGUCGCAAGACCUAAAGACUCCUAGGAGAUUACUAGGUUGAUAGGUUACAGAUGUAAGCAUAGUAAUAUGUUUAGUCGAGUAAUACUAAUAAGUCGUGCGACUUAGCCAUUAUUUUUU